GAUGAACGCUGGCGGCGUGCCUAAUACAUGCAAGUAGAACGCUGAAGGAGGAGCUUGCUCUUCUGGUUGAGUUGCGAACGGGUGAGUAACGCGUAGGUAACCUGCCUGGUAGCGGGGGAUAACUUUUGGAAACGAUAGCUAAUACCGCAUGACAACAGCUAUUGCAUGAUAACUGUUUAAAAGGUGCAACUGCUCCGCUACCAGAUGGACCUGCGUUGUUUUAGCUAGUUGGUGAGGUAAAGGCUCACCAAGGCGACGAUACAUAGCAGACCUGAGAGGGUGAUCAGCCGCACUGGGACUGAGACACGCCCCAGAGGGCCACAGAAGGCAGCAAGAGGGAAACUGCGGCAAGGAGCGGAAGUUUUACCGGGCAACGCGGCGGGAGUGAGGAAGGUUGUCGGAUCGUAAAGCACUGUUUUAAGAGAAGAACGAGUGUGAGAGUGGAAAGUUCACACUGUGACGGUAACUUACCAAAAAGGAACGGCUAACUACGUG
rnacentral:rRNA from 1 species